UUUCCGGUUGAUCCUGCCGGACCCGACUGCUAUCGGGGUAGGGCUAAGCCAUGCGAGUCGCGCGCCCGGGGGCGCCCGGGAGCGGCGCACGGCUCAGUAACACGUGCCCAACCUACCCUCGGGAGGGGGACACCCCCGGGAAACUGGGGCCAAUCCCCCAUAGGGGAAGGGUGCUGGAAGGCCCCUUCCCCCAAAGGGACUGCGGCCGAUCCGCCGCAGUCCGCCCGAGGAUGGGGGCACGGCCCAUCACGUAGUUGGCGGGUUAAAGGCCCGCCAAGCCGAAAACGGGUAGGGGCGGUGAGAGCCGCCAGCCCCGAGAUCGGCACUGAAACAAGGGCCGAGGCCCUACGGGGUGCAGCCAGGCGCGAAUACUCCGCCAUGCGGGCAACCGCGACGGGGCUACCCCGAGUGCCGGGCGAAGAGCCCGGCUUUUGCCCGGUCUAAAACGCCGGGAGAAUAAGCGGGGGGCAAGUCUGGUGUCAGCCGCCGCGGUAAUACCAGCCCCGCGAGUGGUCGGGGUGUUUACUGGGCUUAAAGCGCCCGUAGCCGGCCCGGCAAGUCGCUCCUGAAAUCCCCGGGCCCAACCCGGGGGCGGGGGGCGAUACUGCCGGGCUAGGGGGCGGGAGAAGCCGCCGGUACUCCGGGGGUUAGGGGCGAAAUCCGUUAAUCCCCGGAGGACCACCAGUGGCGAAAGCGGGCGGCCAGAACGCGCCCGACCGUGAGGGGCGAAAGCCGGGGGAGCAAAGGGGAUUAGAUACCCCUGUAGUCCCGGCCGUAAACGAUGCGGGCUAGCUGUCGGCUGGGCUUA
rnacentral:rRNA from 1 species